UAUCCACCCAUGCCGCGUGUGUGAAGAAGGUCUUCGGAUUGUAAAGCACUUUAAGUUGGGAGGAAGGGCAGUUACCUAAUACGUGAUUGUUUUGACGUUACCGACAGAAUAAGCACCGGCUAACUCUGUGCCAGCAGCCGCGGUAAUACAGAGGGUGCAAGCGUUAAUCGGAAUUACUGGGCGUAAAGCGCGCGUAGGUGGUUUGUUAAGUUGGAUGUGAAAUCCCCGGGCUCAACCUGGGAACUGCAUUCAAAACUGACUGACUAGAGUAUGGUAGAGGGUGGUGGAAUUUCCUGUGUAGCGGUGAAAUGCGUAGAUAUAGGAAGGAACACCAGUGGCGAAGGCGACCACCUGGACUAAUACUGACACUGAGGUGCGAAAGCGUGGGGAGCAAACAGGAUUAGAUACC
rnacentral:rRNA from 1 species